UGGGUUUGACAUGCACAGGACGCCGGCAGAGAUGUCGGUUCCCUUGUGGCCUGUGUGCAGGUGGUGCAUGGCU
rnacentral:rRNA from 1 species